CAGUAGCCGCGGGAAUACGAAGGGUGCAAGCGUUACUCGGAAUUACUGGGCGUAAAGCGUGCGUAGGUGGUGGUUUAAGUCCGUUGUGAAAGCCCUGGGCUCAACCUGGGAAUUGCAGUGGAUACUGGGUCACUAGAGUGUGGUAGAGGAUAGUGGAAUUUCCGGUGUAGCAGUGAAAUGCGUAGAGAUUGGAAGGAACAUCUGUGGCGAAGGCGACUAUCUGGGCCAACACUGACACUGAGGCACGAAAGCGUGGGGAGCAAACAGGAUUAGAUACCCGGGUAGUCCCUGUCUCUUAUAC
rnacentral:rRNA from 1 species